GCGCUAGCUAGCUCAGUUGGUAGAGCAUGGGACUCUUGAUCUCAGGAAUGUGGGUUUGAGCCCCACGCUGGGCG